GUUUGACUUUCAAAUGGUUCUACAGAAAGCCAUCACUGAAAGGGUUAAGCACCUAUAUACUUCAGACUCACAAGCUAAUUUCUCAGCUCUUCAAUUUGCCUGAGCAGAGGGGUACAAAGUCUGAACCCUUUGCACUGUGCUGAGUACAAGCUGGUGCUUGCUAAAUGAUUGCUAAACGAUGCCUGUAAGUCCUCAGGGACGUGCAUUCAGGUCAUCCUGAAGAGGUCAACAACCACAUCUUCCAGGAACAAAGCCCAACAAAGACUGUUAGGGUAGGAAGGCAGCUAAGAGAACGAUGGAUGGAAUAGACAGUUGGAAGUAAUGAAGGAAGCAGAGGCAGUUCAUUAAUACCAUCAAAAUCCCUUACUGAAUGUCAACAGCCUCAUCAGCUAGCAUUUUGAGUAAAUAUCCAGUAUGCGUCACAGAGUUAAAAUAAAAUGGACUUUCUUCAAAGGAAGUACUUUUAAUACAAUAACUGUUUUUGUUUUCUUUUUUAACCAACGGAUUAAAAAUUUAACACAUUUACUAAA